CCACGGGUCACCGGGCUCGAACGGCCGUGGGUCUCGGAAGUUCCCCUAGAGCAUCCUCAUGGUUCUUGGGCUCCGCAUGUGAGCAGGUCCGCUGGAAAGAGAAAUGGAUGCCGGGAGUGGAGGCGAGGACUUUGCGAACUCGGGCCCCAGCCGGCGGUGGGCAUGAGCGGAGGGAAACGCUCCAGGUGAACGCGAGCUGCGACAGAGGUAUACCAUGAAGGAAAAAUUUCAAGAAAUGGCUGGAAGAGGAGGAAAAUGAAGAAUCCUUUAAUGAAGUGUUUUUUUGCCUAUUUAAUUAAAUCCAGGAAACAUCCUCACCAGGCUCUGACCUGUGAAUGGCUGCAGAAAGAAGAAAUUAACACAUCCCCUCCAGAGUCUGGCCGGAACCAAGAACUAUGUGCAACACCUUAUCACCUUUUUUACUUUACCUCCUCACCUCCCCCUCUUUGUUCUAUAAAAGAAACUAGCAUCCAAACCCAGGUAAGAUGGUUCUUUGGGACACUAGUCCACCACCUACACAGUCUGCUGGCUUUCUGAAUAAAGUCGCUAUUCCUGGCCCCA